rnacentral:rRNA from 1 species
ACGGCUCAGUAACACGUAGUCAACCUAACCUAUGGACGGGAAUAACCUCGGGAAACUGAGAAUAAUGCCCGAUAGAACAUUAUACCUGGAAUGGUUUAUGUUCCAAAUGAUUUAUCGCCAUAGGAUGGGACUGCGGCCUAUCAGUUUGUUGGUGAGGUAAUGGCCCACCAAGGCUAUUACAGGUACGGGCUCUGAGAGGAGUAGCCCGGAGAUGGGUACUGAGACACGGACCCAGGCCCUAUGGGGCGCAGCAGGCGAGAAAACUUUGCAAUGUGCGAAAGCACGACAAGGUUAAUCCGAGUGAUUUCUGCUAAAGAGAUCUUUUGUUAGUCCUAGAAACACUAACGAAUAAGGGGUGGGCAAGUUCUGGUGUCAGCCGCCGCGGUAAAACCAGCACCUCGAGUGGUCAGGAUGAUUAUUGGGCCUAAAGCAUCCGUAGCCGGCUCUGUAAGUUCUCGGUUAAAUCUGUACGCUUAACGUACAGGCUGCCGGGAAUACUGCAGAGCUAGGGAGUGGGAGAGGUAGACGGUACUCGGUAGGAAGUGGUAAAAUGCUUUGAUCUAUCGAUGACCACCUGUGGCGAAGGCGGUCUACCAGAACACGUCCGACGGUGAGGGAUGAAAGCUGGGGGAGCAAACCGGAUUAGAUACCCGGGUAGUCCCAGCUGUAAACUAUGCAAACUCAGUGAUGCAUUGGCUUGUGGCCAAUGCAGUGCUGCAGGGAAGCCGUUAAGUUUGCCGCCUGGGAAGUACGUACGCAAGUAUGAAACUUAAAGGAAUUGGCGGGGGAGCAC